ACUUGCUUAGAUAUAUAUUAAAUUAACUAUAACGGUGGCUGCACCCGUCUCCGUUAUCCUAGGACGUCUUAUUUUUUUUUUUAAUUUUAAAACUAACAUAAUCCUAUCAUACGCAAUACAACGGUUGAUAUUAUUAUCGGUAUUGUUUGUCAAAUAAAAUAUAUUUUAAACAUCAAUGUAUAAAUAAUUUAUAGGUAAACAGUGGUAUGAUAAAUCUAUACUCUUCUGUUAUUUCAAUAGUAUAAUAUCGAUUAUUUAAUACCGUUCUUUUUGUCAACGUCAACGAUGGCCAAUCAUUUUACCAAAUUAGUGGCCAAUGUAUUUGCACAUUGUAAUUGAGAUUUAUUUAAAAUUCAGUAGAUUAGUAUUAGUUCUCCAGGGAUUAGCGAUUAAAUUUAUGUGGUGGGGGGAGGGGGGUGCGGUUUCUCGAUAAUUUUAUUUACCAACAAAUAGAAUAUCACUCACCAUAGCCCCACGUCGCCUAGUUUGUGCUUUUUUCUAAUUGUAAACAACUUUUCUACCGGAAAUCUUCAACUUUAAAAAUGUUUUUAGAGACAAUUUUUCUUAAUAACUGGUA